rnacentral:lncRNA from 1 species
GCAUCCUCCCGGGAGGUCCCGGUCCUUGCAGCCCGCGGCCGCGUUCUUGGCCCUACUCCAGGGGAACCUCGAUUUUUCAAACUCGGGAAGGCCGGCUGUCCUUCGGCUACUGAUAAGGACGCAAGCGCCGGGUAAAAGAUUUUAACAAUGCCCGGAAAGAAAUAGUCGGACCCAAGAAAGAGACUAAUAAUAGCCGCCAGCUAGAGUUCUGCUCCUGUGCUCAGCGGUCUUAAGAACAAUAAUAACGACAACAACCACAAUAGCCACCAUUUAUUGAGCGCUUACUCUGUGCCAGGCACUGUGUUAAGCGCUUUGCAGGCAACAACCCUCGGAGGUUUUCCCUGUCCCUGAACUGCUCGUUUGGUCACCUUUUGAGAGAAAAGAACACUGAUCCCAUUAAAAGGCCCUGUUGUUUGCCAGGUAAAACUCCACCUCGUCUCCCCUUCUCAUAGAUCCUUUGGUGAUGCCAAAUGGGCAAAAAUCAUCCAUUAGAACAGAUAACUUUCUGUCCUUCUCCAAAAUAGGACUAGAGAAUUGGUUAAGGAAGGAGCAGAUAGAUAAAAAGGAUCUAUUUUUAAAAUAGCUACAGUGUAUUAGGUGCUUGUUUUAUGCUGAACCCUUUCUGUGUCUUGACUCCUUAAUCCUCAUCAGCCCUAAAAGGUAUGCAUUAUUACUCUCAUUUAACAGAUGAGGUCACCAGACUGGUAAGUAGCAAGGCUGGGACUCCACUAGGAAUAUCUGACUUUAAAAGCCAUGUUCCUGUCACCCAGAAUGCACAUGCUGAUGCAGCUGAACAGAAGAGGUAAGAGACAAACCAUGCCAAACACAAACCAAGAUUUGCCCUAAGAGUGCUCAGAAAUACCACAUGUGAAUCAGGGGCUUCAAUAACUUUCUGAGCCUCAAUCUGGGACUCUGUCUAAAACAGAAAAACAAACCUCAAAGUGCAAUGAGAGAAGAAUAGGAAUGAGGCAUUUAGCUUUCCCUUGGAAGAGCAGCUGGAGAGGCCCACUCACUUUCUAUGUCUGGGCUCUGAGGAAAUAAAGGUGGUUCUAGGAAAAUCUGAAAAGUAAGAGAGGAAAAAAAAAAUCCCUUCUGUGGUUUUUUUCUUUAACCAAGCCUCAUUUUGCUAUUUGUGUUUUAUUUUAAAACUAAUGUGGCUCUCCCCACCCUUUAAAUUGGCACGUAAAUAGCAAAAACAGAAGGAAGGCCAGCUACAAACUUCAAAUGUGGUGGGUUUCUCAGGAAGGAGGUACAUGACUUGAAGUGGAAAUGAGGAUUAAAUGAGGUGCCUUAAACAUUUCAAAGACAGACUUUCCACAAGGACUGUGGAUCAUAAGCCUUUAGAACAGGAGCUUUGUCUGGGUUUGGGCUUGGUAGAGUGUCCAGAAUUUGUGAGUGCCCCAAAAUGUGGAAAACGAAUCACACUUCUAGUGUCUGUCUGCAUCAUCUAAUCAUCUCGGCCACCGCUCUGCUUACAGCUUUAAAGGUUGGCUUCUGGAGGAUUUUCCUGUUCUCAGAUGUCAGACACACAUCCUCCCUCAGACCCCUUACUUUUCCAGAAGUUUGCUCUGGGAAUUCAGUCAAGGUGAGGCAAUGGUUGAUGAUAUCACUAGGCUUGUUUGAAGAGAUUGACAGGCCAGCUCUGGAAUCACCAACUGGAGGUUUUUCCAAACUGGGAAACCAAGGCAGAAGGGACUUCAUGAGACUUGUCACUAACAGUUCUGAUUCUCUCGCCCUAUGUCUUUGAACUAGAAGGAUUCCCCUCUUACCCAACACAAGAGAGACCUGAAUAUCCCAGGCUGCCUCUUGCAAAAUUCUUGGACCUCUUCGACCUUCCUCGCUGCUGCUUCCCUCAUUCUUUCAGUGCGUUCAUUCUACAAACAUGCCUCAAGGGCGCAUGAUGUGUAGAUCCUAGUGGCAGAGCAGAGAACCUAACAUGAGCUCAGAAGCUUACUUUCUCCCAUUCCCUCCUGGUUUCUAACCUCAUGGCUUCAACUUCCACACCUGGAGAGGUCCUAUGAUGGUAAAUGACUUGCUUCUCCAGGUAAGGACUGCUGCUCAGACAUACCUGACAUUCCACCAGCUCCUUCGGCAGCUCUCUGAGAUCAUACCCUGGGACCCUGACACCACAGCGAUGACACCGAUUUGGUAGAAGGUUUGGGUCCUGAGAUACCUUCAGAAGCAGGGCUCAGAAAUGCUCCAGCUCCAGCAUUUGCCCUUGCUCCUCCCCAUCCCUUUCCAGUUGUCACUCCUUCAGUUUAUAAGAUCGCUGUUGUCCAAAAUAGCACAGGCUAUAUUUAUGAAGCAUCUAUUAUGAUGAAAAAUCCCGUAGUGCCAUAAUACCCUACUGUCCAAAGGAAAAUGUUGGCUUAAACAAACAACAGUGACUAUCUGGCAAAGUGAUGUGUGGGAUAAUGCUUAUGAGUCUUUUGGGUCAUUUUUUUUUUUUUUAUUGAAUCUUGGGACUGAGUGAUUCAUAAUAACGAGAGGAAGGAAGAACACUAGGCCUGUUUUAGCUUUCAAGAUUAUUCAAAUGGAAUAGAUUUUCACCAUCAACACCCUAGCAAAGACAGAAUGCUUAAGGUAAAUUGCCAGUUUUUGUCUUUUUGGAAAAUCCAUUAAUACUGAAUGAUCUUGGUUUUAAUCCAUUCCAAAAAAAAAAAAAA